GUGGGGGAUAUUGCACAAUGGGGGAAACCCUGAUGCAGCGACGCCGCGUGAAGGAAGACGUACUUCGGUAUGUAAACUUCUAUCAGCAGGGAAGAAGAUGACGGUACCUGACUAAGAAGCCCCGGCUAACUACGUGCCAGCAGCCGCGGUAAUACGUAGGGGGCAAGCGUUAUCCGGAUUUACUGGGUGUAAAGGGAGCGUAGACGGUGAAGCAAGUCUGAUGUGAAAACCCGGGGCUCAACUCCGGGAUUGCAUUGGAAACUGUUUUACUUGAGUGCUGGAGGGGCAAGCGGAAUUCCUGGUGUAGCGGUGAAAUGCGUAGAUAUCAGGAAGAACACCGGUGGCGAAGGCGGCUUGCUGUACAGUAACUGACGUUGAGGCUCGAAAGCGUGGGGAGCAAACAGGAUUAGAAACCCGAGUAGUCC
rnacentral:rRNA from 1 species